rnacentral:snRNA from 1 species
GGAUUUGAGGGCAAUCUGGCUCUGCCAUUUGUCACCUCAGGGUUAUUUCAGUUGAUCUGGCUAGCUAGGUGGACAUCCCCUUUCUCCUUAACCAUGACAUUUGUGUCUCUCCUGGAGCUGUGUGCUUAGUUGAGGUUUUGAAGGAUGGCCUUCCCCAAAUACAGGAAGACUGGUCUUCAGUCAAGGGUACAUGAGUACCAGUGGUCCCCUGCUAGAUCCUCCAAGCAAUCUAAAGAAAGAACCUAAAGAUGUAAGUAGAUGAUGGAAAGGCCUCCCAUGCUCAUGAGUUAGAAGAAUAUAUAGGCAUAAGCAAGGACUUUCUGA